GACGAACGCUGGCGGCGUGCCUAAUACAUGCAAGUAGAACGCACAGUUUAUACCGUAGCUUGCUACACCAUAGACUGUGAGUUGCGAACGGGUGAGUAACGCGUAGGUAACCUGCCUGGUAGCGGGGGAUAACUAUUGGAAACGAUAGCUAAUACCGCAUAAUAUUGAUUAUUGCAUGAUAAUUGAUUGAAAGAUGCUAUUGCAUCACUACCAGAUGGACCUGCGUUGUAUUAGCUAGUAGGUGAGGUAACGGCUCACCUAGGCGACGAUACAUAGCCGACCUGAGAGGGUGAUCGGCCACACUGGGACGGAGACACGGCCCAGACUCCUACGGGAGGCAGCAGUAGGGAAGCUUCGGCAAUGGACGAAAGUCUGACCGAGCAACGCCGCGUGAGUGAAGAAGGGUUUCGGAUCGUAAAGCUCUGUUGUAAGAGAAGAACGGGUGUGAGAGUGGAAAGUUCACACUGUGACGGUAUCUUACCAGAAAGGGACGGCUAACUACGUG
rnacentral:rRNA from 1 species